rnacentral:rRNA from 1 species
ACCCCUGUGAGAAUGCCCUACUUAACCACAAGGAAAAGAGGAGCAGGCAUCAGGCACGAACUUCAGCCCAAAACACCUUGCUUAGCCACACCCCCAAGGGACCUCAGCAGUGAUGAACAUUAAGCAAUGAGUGAAAACUCGACUUAGUUAAGACCCAGAGGGCCGGUUAAGCUCGUGCCAGCCACCGCGGUUAUACGAGCGGCCCAAGUUGAUAACACACCGGCAUAAAAAGUGGCCAAAAUAAUACUACUAGAGCCAAACAUUUUCAGAGCAGUUAUAAGCUUAUGAAGACAGGAAGCCCCAUCACGAAGGUAGCUCUAAUUUACUUUACCACGAAAGCUAGGACACAAACUGGGAUUAGAUACCCCACUAUGCCUAGCCCUAAACAGAAGUAGCCUGUUAUUUGUCUACUUGCCAGGAGACUACGAGCCCUGCUUAAAACCCAAAGGACUUGGCGGUGCUUUAGACCCCCCUAGAGGAGCCUGUUCUAGAACCGAUAACCCCCGUUAAACCUCACCCUCCCUUGCUUUUUCC